AGAACGAACGCUGGCGGCAUGCCUAACACAUGCAAGUCGAACGAUCUCUUCGGAGAUAGUGGCGCACGGGUGCGUAGCGCGUGGGAAUCUGCCCUUGGGUUCGGAAUAACAGUUGGAAACGACUGCUAAUACCGGAUGAUGACGUUAAGUCCAAAGUAUUUAUCGCCCAGGGAUGACGCCCGCGUAGGAUUAGCUAGUUGGUGAGGUAAAGGCUACAACCGAGCGACGACUUCCUUAGCUGGUCUGAGAGAUGAUCAGCCACACGUAGGGACUGGACGACCGACCGGCCCUAACGAC
rnacentral:rRNA from 1 species